UACAGAGGGUGCUAGCGUUGUUCGGAAUCACUGGGCGUAAAGCGCACGUAGGCGGAUGUGUCAGUCAGGGGUGAAAUCCCGGGGCUCAACCUCGGAACUGCCUUCGAUACUGCGGGUCUCGAGUCCGGGAGAGGUGAGUGGAAUUCCUAGUGUAGAGGUGAAAUUCGUAGAUAUUAGGAAGAACACCAGUGGCGAAGGCGGCUCACUGGCCCGAUACUGACGCUGAGGCACGAAAGCGUGGGGAGCAAACAGG
rnacentral:rRNA from 1 species